GCCUAACACAUGCAAGUCGAGCGGAUGAGAGGAGCUUGCUCUUCGAUUCAGCGGCGGACGGGUGAGUAAUGCCUAGGAAUCUGCCUAGUAGUGGGGGACAACGUUUCGAAAGGAACGCUAAUACCGCAUACGUCCUACGGGAGAAAGUGGGGGAUCUUCGGACCUCACGCUAUUAGAUGAGCCUAGGUCGGAUUAGCUAGUUGGUAGGGUAAAGGCCUACCAAGGCGACGAUCCGUAACUGGUCUGAGAGGAUGAUCAGUCACACUGGAACUGAGACACGGUCCAGACUCCUACGGGAGGCAGCAGUGGGGAAUAUUGGACAAUGGGCGAAAGCCUGAUCCAGCCAUGCCGCGUGUGUGAAGAAGGCCUUCGGGUCGUAAAGCACUUUAAGUUGGGAGGAAGGGCUCAUAGCGAAUACCUGUGAGUUUUGACGUUACCAACAGAAUAAGCACCGGCUAACUUCGUGCCAGCAGCCGCGGUAAUACGAAGGGUGCAAGCGUUAAUCGGAAUUACUGGGCGUAAAGCGCGCGUAGGUGGCUUGAUAAGUUGG
rnacentral:rRNA from 1 species